rnacentral:misc_RNA from 1 species
GAUGAAGAACGUAGCGAAACGCGAUAAGUAAUGUGAAUUGCAGAAUUUAGUGAAUCAUCGAACUUUUGAACGCACAUUGCGCCCCCUGGUAUUCCGGGGGGCAUGCCUGUCCGAGCGUCAUUGCUGCCCUCAAGCACGGCUUGUGUGUUGGGCUCCGUCCCCCCGGGGACGGGCCCGAAAGGCAGCGGCGGCACCGAGUCCGGUCCUCGAGCGUAUGGGGCUUUGUCACCCGCUCUGUAGGCCCGGCCGGCGCCAGCCGACAACCCAUCAUCCUUUUCAGGUUGACCUCGGAUCAGGUAGGGAUACCCGCUGAACUUAAGCAUAUCAAUAAGCGGAGGA